AAAGAACUUGCUGGGCAGUAAUUCGGUAGAGAAGUAAAUCAUCCUUUUAUCCAUAUUCUUCAUAUAUAUUGGUAAAAUUUGUACCAUAUAACCUAAUAUUUUAGCAUGCCUCAAGUAAUAUGCAGUGAACAUAUUGCAUAGAUACUUGCAAACAAUAAAGUAUGCUUCUCAAUAUAUUGAAAAAUCUAGACGAAACUCACAACCAGAGCAUAAUGAAAUAGGAACAUACAUUCUACUUGUUUUAACUCAAACGUAGAACUCAAGGUUUUAAAUUUUGCACAGAACCAGACUUUUUUGGUCAAAACAAAUCAGUUUCCACUAGUUCUGUCCAAUUUCAAUGCUUUUGGCCAAUUUCAAUCAAAAUCAGCUGAAAAUGGAUAUGGGUGCCCUUUAUUGAAAGUUUUAUUCCAGUGUUUACUAACAUAUUUGGGUUAUUUUCUUCUCUGUUCUUUUUUAAGUACAUUGGCUGUAUAGUUUCAAAUUUUUUGUUGUUUUUCUUUUUCUUUUGUAUUCUUGAGUUAAAAGGGCAAUAGAUGAUAAGCAUUACCCUGAUGGGUUAAAGCCACUGACAAGGCCCUUAAUACAAUCAUAUAUAAAAAUUAAUGCAAACGACCAAAUAAAAUACACUAUCGUAUACAGCAGAUAUCCUUUUAGAUAACAUAAAUUCCACAUUUUAUAACUACAUGAAUAUAAUUAAAUAGUCACUUAACCUUAAAAAUAUGAGAAAGAAGUGU
rnacentral:lncRNA from 1 species